GAGAUAAAAGAAAAAGAAGAUAGCCCAAGAGUAACUGGCUGAGAACAAAGUGUUUUCCUCCGAAUGAAGAAAUGAAAGGGUACCAAAGAGAGUGUUGAUGAUGAUAUGCAAGUAAACCAAAUGGCUUCAUUGUAUUUGUGUUUGAAUUCUUGGUCUUCUUCUUCUUCUCCUUCCCAGCUCCCUCGCAGACUAGGAGAAACAUACUCUUCUUUAUCUACUUAUUCUUCUUCUUAUGCUGCCUUUAGUAAUGGUAGACGCACCAGAGGAUCCUUGAAACCCUUAGUUAUUAGUGGAGACCCUCCAACUUUUGUCUCUGCUCCAGGUCGCCGUAUUGUUGCUGUUGGGGAUCUGCACGGAGAUCUUGAACAAGCUAGACGUGCACUUGAGAUGGCUGGUGUCUUGAGUUCUGAUGGAGAAGAUUUGUGGAUUGGUGGAGAAACAGUAUUGAUUCAACUUGGAGAUAUACUUGAUCGAGGUGAAGAUGAGAUAGCUAUAUUAUCCUUGUUGCGUUCAUUGGAUAUUCAGGCCAAAGCUCAGGGUGGAGCAGUUUUUCAGAUCAACGGGAAUCAUGAGACCAUGAAUGUGGAAGGAGAUUUUAGAUAUGUUGAUUCAGGGGCAUAUGAUGAAUGCACUGAUUUCCUGUCAUACUUGGAUGACUUCAAAUAUGACUGGGAAAAUGCUUUUGCUGGUUGGAUUAGAGUCUCUAAAACACGGAAAGAAGAUCGGAAAUUGUCUCCAAAUUAUUGGGGUGCUUGGAAUCUAGUGAAGAGGCAAAAGGGGGUCAUUGCCAGAUCAAUAUUGUUGAGACCAGGCGGUCCAUUGGCAUGUGAAUUAGCUCGGCAUUCUGUUAUUCUCAAGGUCAAUGACUGGAUAUUCUGUCAUGGUGGACUUCUUCCUCUCCAUGUUGCAUAUGGCAUAGAGAGGAUGAACAGUGAAGUAUCUCACUGGAUGAAAGGUCUUAGUGGCGGUGAUACUAGUCCUGACAUUCCUUUUAUGGCAACCAAGGGAUAUGACAGUGUUGUUUGGAACCGAUUAUACUCGAGAGAUAUGUCAAAUUUGGAGGACCAUCAGAGUAAACAGAUACUUUCUAUUCUUGAAGAAACAUUGCAAGCAGUAGGGGCUAAAGCAAUGGUGGUGGGGCAUACUCCGCAAACUGCAGGGGUAAACUGUAAAUAUAACUGUAGCAUAUGGCGCGUUGAUGUGGGAAUGUCUAGUGGAGUUCUUCAUUCAAGACCAGAGUAAAGAAGUUGCCUCUUCUGUCAUGGUGGAGGCUAGCCUUACAACACAAUGUACUAUAGAACUUUCUGCUGCCAUUCAAAAGUACUAGAAAUAAAAGAUGACAAAGCAAGAGUAAUAAGGAGCAGAAGGGCUACAUUUUAUGAACUUCAAGUUGCCGACUAUCCAGAAGAAUAACGGAUGAUUCAGCCAGGCAUCAUUCUGUAUUGAGUUCCUUCUUUAUAUUAGCCAUCUUUUACCAUGCCUGAUAAAAUUAAAUGAUUUCUGCAUAUUCCAGAGGCUGGAAUGGAUGUAGCCUGUUACAUUACUAAUUCCCCAAAAUGAUUAUAUGGGGAUUUAGAUAUGGGUAAAUAAAGGCCUUAGGCUCUCUCCGCCUAAUGGCUAGCUUUUAGGGGUGAGUUGUGCCAAAUCACUUUGCAUUAUGCAAAGCCAACACUUGAUAUGCGCUACUGCGAGUCUGGUUAUAACUGUUGGUAGGCCCUUGUCAAUUACAUUUUCGACACAUCAAUUGAACAAUUAGUGGUUUCAACAGCAAAGAAAAUAAAAGCUUCUGCAUUAUUCUGCUUUUGAUUCAUUA